UCAAGCUGAUAAGGGCGCAGGGUGGAUGCCUUGGCACUAAGAGCCGAAGAAAGACGUGAUAAGCUGCGAAAAGCUGCGGUGAGGAGCAAAUAUCCAUUGACCCGCAGAUAUCUGAAUGGGGAAACCCGGCUGAGCAAACCUCAGUCAUCCAUACGCCAAUACAUAACGUAUGGAAGGGAACCCGGGGAACUGAAACAUCUAAGUACCCGGAGGAAGAGAAAGAAACAUCGAUUUCCUAAGUAGCGGCGAGCGAAAGGGAAAGAGCCUAAACCGGAGCGCGUGCGUUCCGGGGUUAUGGACUGCAUAAGUGAGUCAGAAGCUAGAAGAAAGGUUUUGGGAAAGCCUGCCAGAGAGAGUGAAAGCCUCGUAUUUGAAAGCGGAAGACAGCGGCAGUAUCCGGAGUACCACGAGACACGAGAAACCUUGUGGGAAGUCGGGGGGACCACCCCCCAAGGCUAAAUACUACUUAGUGACCGAUAGCGCAUAGUACUGUGAAGGAAAGGUGAAAAGAACCCCGGGAGGGGAGUGAAAGAGAACCUGAAACCCUGUGUCUACAAGCUGUGGAAGUGCUAUAUAUGCACAACCGCGUACUUUUUGUAGAACGGUCCGGCGAGUUAUGCGGUGUGGCAAGGUUAAGCAGAGAAACUGUGAAGCCGAAGGGAAACCGAGUCUUAAUAGGGCGUCAAGUCACAUAGCAUAGACCCGAAACCGGGUGAUCUACCCAUGUCCAGGUUGAAGCUGCUGUAAAAGGUGGUGGAGGACCGAACACACAUCCGUUGAAAAGGGUGGUGAUGAGGUGUGGGUAGGGGAGAAAUUCCAAUCGAACCCGGAGAUAGCUGGUUCUCCUCGAAAUAGCUUUAGGGCUAGCCUCGUUUUAGUCUUAUGGAGGUAGAGCACUGAAUUUCCGCGGGGGCGUCAAAGCUUACCAAAGAAUAUCAAACUCCGAAUGCCAUGUAGAUGAUGAAUGGGAGUCAGACUGCACGAGAUAAGUUGGGUGGUCAAAAGGGAAAGAGCCCAGACCACCGGCUAAGGUCCCAAAGUGUGUGUUAAGUGGAAAAGGAUGUGGGGAUUCGAAGACAACUAGGAUGUUGGCUCAGAAGCAGCCAUUCAUUCAAAGAGUGCGUAACAGCUCACUAGUCGAGAGUCCCUGCGCCGAAAAUGUCCGGGGCUGAAACACAACACCGAAGCCGUGGAAUCGAGAGAUUGGUAGAGGAGCAUUCUUAUCACGAAGAAGCUGUACCGAAAGGAGCAGUGGAGAGAUAAGAAGAGAGAAUGCCGGAAUGAGUAGCGAGAGAAAGGUGAGAAUCCUUUCGGCCGAAUAUCUAAGGUUUCCAGAGUAAAGCUGAUCUGCUCUGGGUAAGUCGGGGCCUAAGGCGAGGUCGAAAGACGUAGUCGAUGGACAACAGGUUUAGAUUCCUGUACUUCAUGAUAUCAGAACUGUGGGGACACAGAGACAAAGGACGAGCCGGGAAUGGAAAAACCGGUGCAAGCGAGGUAGCUUCAUGGGAGGGAAAACCCCCAUGUAUAAGGCGAAUGCGUGAAGCGUAGCGAACUUAAAAGUAGCGAAGCGUGUGGAGUCACUGUCAGGAAAAGCCGCUAUUGCGUAUCAUGAACCCGUACCGUAAACCGACACAGGUGGAUGAGGAGAGAAUCCUAAGGCCGACGGAAGAAGCAUUGUUAAGGAAUUCGGCAAAAUGACCCCGUAACUUCGGGAGAAGGGGUGCCUGCGCAAGCAGGUCGCAGAGAAUUGGCCCAAGCAACUGUUUAGCAAAAACACAGGUUUAUGCGAAACCGAAAGGUGAAGUAUAUGAGCUGACGCCUGCCCGGUGCUGGAAGGUUAAGGGGAGUGCUUAGACUUUGGUCGAAGGUGCGAACUUAAGCCCCAGUAAACGGCGGCCGUAACUAUAACGGUCCUAAGGUAGCGAAAUUCCUUGUCGGGUAAGUUCCGACCCGCACGAAAGGCGUAAUGAUUUGAGCGCUGUCUCGACAAUGCAUCCGGUGAAAUUGAAGUACCAGUGAAGAUGCUGGUUACCCGCGCCAGGACGGAAAGACCCCAUGGAGCUUUACUC
rnacentral:rRNA from 1 species